GUUGAACGCUGGCGGCAGGCCUAACACAUGCAAGUCGAGCGAGCGGCGGACGGGUGAGUAAUGUCUGGGGAACUGCCUGAGUGAGGGGGAUAACUACUGGAAACGGUAGCUAAUACCGCAUACCAUCAGAUGUGCCCAUAUGGGAUUAGCUAGUAGGUGGGUUAAUGGCUCACCUAGGCGACGAUCCCUAGCUGGUCUGAGAGGAUGACCAGCGACACUGGAACGGAGAAACGUGCGAGACGCCUACGGGAGGGAGAAGUGGGGAAGUUUGAACAAUGGGAGCAAGGCUGAUGCAGCCAUGCCGGGUGGGUGAAGAAGGCCUUAGGGUUGUAAAGUACUGUAAGCGUGGAGGCGUUACCCGAAGAAGAAGCACCGGCUAACUCCGUGCCAGCAGCCGCGGUAAUUC
rnacentral:rRNA from 1 species